GCUUGUCUCAAAGAUUAAGCCAUGCAUGUCUAAGUAUAGUACCUUAUACUGCGAAACUGCGAAUGGCUCAUUAAAUCAGUUAUAAUUCAUUUGAUGGUACUUACUACUCGGAUAACCGUAGUAAUUCUAGAGCUAAUACGUGCGUAAAUCCCGACUUCUGGAAGGGACGUAUUUAUUAGAUAAAAGGCCAGCCGGGUUUCGGCCCGUUCUUUGGCGACUCAUGAUAACUUCUCGAAUCGGAGGCUUGCCUCCGAUAGUUCAUUCAAAUUUCUGCCCUAUCAGCUUUCGACGGUAGUGUAGUGGACUACCGUGGCGUUAACGGGUAACGGAGAAUUAGGGUUCGAUUCCGGAGAGGGAGCCUGAGAAACGGCUACCACAUCCAAGGAAGGCAGCAGG
rnacentral:rRNA from 1 species